GAGAAAAAUCCAGAAGCAGAGCAUUCUGUCCCUCCUGGAGAGGGUCAUGUUGGGAGGUAUGCUGAAUGCUUUGUGAAGUCACAGACGUACUGUCUAGCAGCGCAUUGUGAUGUCACAGAGCUCCAGCGAUGUCUUCUGGGUCCAACAUUUAGCUGAUGAUGACUUCUGGUGGAUUCAGUUGCCAUGGCUUUGGAGAAUGUGACAGACACACAACUGUCGGACACCAAGUCUGUGGAGCUGAGACGCUGAGAAGGAUAUCAUUGCAUAAAGCAGUGUAGAGUGUGCUGCUAGCCGCUGUCCGGAGGCGCUGGUGAACCGUCCACAUGCUUAUGUUUUUAAACUAAGAUGUACGUGAACUUGUUAUGUUUAGUAAAAUUUAUUUGAA